rnacentral:lncRNA from 1 species
AUCUUUAGACAUGAGAUUUAUUUCAGAACCAUGGUUGACUAAAGCAACUAUUGGUUCUUCUAUAUCUCCUACUUUCACCAAUACCUCAGUAGUUGCCCUUGCCCAAUGCUUUCGAGUAUAAUGGCACAAAGUUUCCAUUUCCUUGUCACUAGAAUCUUCAAAACGUACUCGUUGAUUAUACCCAUUCUUUUCAUUUGUUGGUUGCUUGUAACCAAUAUCAACCUCUUCUUCAUCUCUAUAUAUUCUUGCAUCAAUAGCAUGACUCAUUCUAGUUUCGCCCAUUAAUU